rnacentral:tRNA from 1 species
ACCGGGUUGGCGGAAAUGGUGAUCGCGCCUCGCCCAUAACGAGGAACACGAAGGUUCGAAUCCUUCACCCGGUA